rnacentral:lncRNA from 1 species
AUGAGGGCAAUCGACAAGGUUGUAAAGGCUAGCUUCCCCUCUGCUUCCUCAGAGCCUGCUCACCUGCACCCUGCCGGAUGCCACUUCCUGUGUCAGGCAGUCUUCACACGUAUGACUCCACGCAAGCAUCGUAAGAUGGCACCGUUAUCAUCCCACUCUACAGACAGGAAGCCGAGGCCCGGGGAGCAAAGCCACUUGCCCACAAGUGGUUCAAUGGUCUGCUUCACUUACGUGAAUGAGGACGGCCUUCGCCAUCCCUGGGCUCGGCUGCCCGGCAUGGCCUCACAGAUUUCAGGUAGCUCCUUGGUGACUCUGAACAGCUCCUCUACUCUGAAAGAGCUGUGACCCUCAGCUUGGACCUGUGGUCUGCAGGUAUGAGCAGUUGGUUUGAGCACCCCCUCCCCAGCCUCCUGUGACAUAGAUGUAAGUGGGCCUGCUCAAGUCUCCCCCAGCCAGCACUAUCAACAGAGCCUGGCACCCAGGACAGUCCCCAAAUACAUGCUAAUAACACACAUCUUUAGGCACCGUGGAGCGCAGUGGUCUGGGCUUGAGACCAGGGAAUAUGCUGACUUUGAUUUCUGCCCUGGCUGUGUGACCUUUCUGAGAACCAGUUCCUUUGUUGUAAAGUGGACAUGAUUCCAUGGCGACUGCCUUUGCACUGUGGCCCAGGCCAGGCCCUUCUGAUGGAGGUUCUCAUCAACUAUUAUUAUCCCCAUCUUAAGGAGGAGGAGUCACAGUUAGACAGCUGGUGGGACUGGCUGGGGUCACCCAGCCUGGUUAACAAAACCCAGCUCCCUACAGCCAGCCUAAGUCAGAGCUUCUCCCAGAAGGAUUGCAUUCUCUGACAGGUUGAAAUGCAGCCUCCUGGGCGCUGCCUGAGUCCCUGACCCUCAAGUUUGAGAAGGUCCCCACCCUAAGCUACUAGGCUGAGCGGCUAGGGCUGGUUAGUGUUGUCUGUGGGUGUGUCCACUUCAUCAUGUUGGGCUCUCCUGGAAUAAG